rnacentral:lncRNA from 1 species
CAAAUUUAUAACAAAGCCCAAGGCAGUGUCUCCUUUUAACUGUCUGUUUUUAAUAUCAUUUAAAUCUUGUUAAAACUUAAUUACCAAUUCUCUUCUGUAAUAAUUUAGGUGGAAGAUCUGAGGUCUAAGAUCUAAGCUUGCUGUUUGAGAGAACUUCAUCAGAUAAACAAAGACACCAAGGUUGUGAGUUCUGGAUCUAUACUUCUUACAACUGAGCUUUGUAGUCUCCUUGUCAGGCUUCAGGUAAACCUGACAGAAUUGAGAACUGUCCUGAGUUACUCAAGUUGUAACCAAUGUGAGACAGCAGCGUGGGGCCUUGUGGGGCCAGGGGAAUAAGUCCGGAGGACUGAGGCUGCAAAACUGCAAAGAUAUACCUGGAGAAGGUA